rnacentral:rRNA from 1 species
CGGUGGCUAAUACCGGAUACGACCACUCCUUGCAUGAGGUGGUGGUGGUAAAGUUUUUCGGCCAGGGAUGUGCUCGCGGCCUAUCAGCUUGUUGGUGGGGUAAUGGCCUACCAAGGCUUCGACGGUAGCCGGCCUGAGAGGGUGACCGGCCACACUGGGACUGAGACACGGCCCAGACUCCUACGGGAGGCAGCAGUGGGGAAUAUUGGACAAUGGGCGGAAGCCUGAUCCAGCAACGCCGCGUGAGGGAUGACGGCCUUCGGGUUGUAAACCUCUUUCAGUACCGACGAAGCGCCGAUGAUGGUGGUGACGGUAGGUACAGAAGAAGCACCGGCCAACUACGUG